GCCCUCAUAGCCUAAUGGAUAUGGCGUCGCCCUCCUAAGGCGGAAUUCUAGGUUCGAGUCCUAGUGGGGGCG
rnacentral:tRNA from 1 species